AAUUUAGUGUUGUAUACAACAUAUCAAACUGUAAAUUUGGUGAAACGAAAGUCUAAAUUA
rnacentral:tRNA from 1 species